rnacentral:rRNA from 1 species
UUGAACGCUGGCGGCAGGCCUAACACAUGCAAGUCGAGCGGUAGCACAGAGAGCUUGCUCUCGGGUGACGAGCGGCGGACGGGUGAGUAAUGUCUGGGAAACUGCCUGAUGGAGGGGGAUAACUACUGGAAACGGUAGCUAAUACCGCAUAAUGUCGCAAGACCAAAGUGGGGGACCUUCGGGCCUCAUGCCAUCAGAUGUGCCCAGAUGGGAUUAGCUAGUAGGUGGGGUAACGGCUCACCUAGGCGACGAUCCCUAGCUGGUCUGAGAGGAUGACCAGCCACACUGGAACUGAGACACGGUCCAGACUCCUACGGGAGGCAGCAGUGGGGAAUAUUGCACAAUGGGCGCAAGCCUGAUGCAGCCAUGCCGCGUGUGUGAAGAAGGCCUUCGGGUUGUAAAGCACUUUCAGCGGGGAGGAAGGCGUUAAGGUUAAUAACCUUGGCGAUUGACGUUACCCGCAGAAGAAGCACCGGCUAACUCCGUGCCAGCAGCCGCGGUAAUACGGAGGGUGCAAGCGUUAAUCGGAAUUACUGGGCGUAAAGCGCACGCAGGCGGUCUGUCAAGUCGGAUGUGAAAUCCCCGGGCUCAACCUGGGAACUGCAUUCGAAACUGGCAGGCUAGAGUCUUGUAGAGGGGGGUAGAAUUCCAGGUGUAGCGGUGAAAUGCGUAGAGAUCUGGAGGAAUACCGGUGGCGAAGGCGGCCCCCUGGACAAAGACUGACGCUCAGGUGCGAAAGCGUGGGGAGCAAACAGGAUUAGAUACCCUGGUAGUCCACGCCGUAAACGAUGUCGAUUUGGAGGUUGUGCCCUUGAGGCGUGGCUUCCGGAGCUAACGCGUUAAAUCGACCGCCUGGGGAGUACGGCCGCAAGGUUAAAACUCAAAUGAAUUGACGGGGGCCCGCACAAGCGGUGGAGCAUGUGGUUUAAUUCGAUGCAACGCGAAGAACCUUACCUGGUCUUGACAUCCACAGAACUUUCCAGAGAUGGAUUGGUGCCUUCGGGAACUGUGAGACAGGUGCUGCAUGGCUGUCGUCAGCUCGUGUUGUGAAAUGUUGGGUUAAGUCCCGCAACGAGCGCAACCCUUAUCCUUUGUUGCCAGCGGUUCGGCUGGGAACUCAAAGGAGACUGCCAGUGAUAAACUGGAGGAAGGUGGGGAUGACGUCAAGUCAUCAUGGCCCUUACGACCAGGGCUACACACGUGCUACAAUGGCAUAUACAAAGAGAAGCGACCUCGCGAGAGCAAGCGGACCUCAUAAAGUAUGUCGUAGUCCGGAUUGGAGUCUGCAACUCGACUCCAUGAAGUCGGAAUCGCUAGUAAUCGUAGAUCAGAAUGCUACGGUGAAUACGUUCCCGGGCCUUGUACACACCGCCCGUCACACCAUGGGAGUGGGUUGCAAAAGAAGUAGGUAGCUUAACCUUCGGGAGGGCGCUUACCACUUUGUGAUUCAUGACUGGGGUG